rnacentral:lncRNA from 1 species
UGUGGUCCAACAAUAAAGUGCACAGGUGAAUUAAAUAAAAAAAUAUAUAAAAUUCGUGUUUUCAUGAUCAUAGCUAAAAAAUGUAAUUAUAAGUAUUGAAUGCUUCUUUUUGUAACUUUAUAGGGUUGUAAAAGCGUUGACCGUGCGCACAUUUUUAGAAUGAAGCGCUUCCGCACUUCAUACAAAAUGUACUUCGGUCAACGCUUUUACACCCCAAUAAAUUUACAAAAAAAAGCAUUCAAUUCUUAAAUAA